GCAGCGCGGGCACGUCGGGUGGCGACCAGCCCACGUUCCAGGAGGAGGGGCAGGACGACGACCUCUACAGCUAAGCUACCGGCUGCUGCCCCGGGUCACUGCACGAGAUUCCGACCUAUUUCGGACUACGACUACGGUACCCGGGGCCUCUCAACACACACGCGCGGGGCGCGUCCUACACGUAUCUCCAGCAGCCGGCACACACACACACAAACACAGAGAGACCAGAGGCCGGCUCCGCCCGCGCGCCAGUUCUAGGACUGACUUAUACUUAAGAUUAUUAAGAUUAUCGGUGAACCACAUCCGGACGGGUGUAGCGGGUCCCGGGUUGCGGAAAUGUCUAUAAUGUCUAUAUUAAAUUCCAAUAUGUAUUCCCGACCGGGUAUAAGUGUAUUUAUUUUGUCGAUCGAUUGAUAGCAUUUCUUUGUGUUCGGAUUCGCUUGUGUUUAGUUGUAAUUUGAAUAAUGUAGGCUCGCGGAGCCGUUAAGAUCAUAAUGAUAUAGUAUAAUUGUUAACUGUAUGGCAGAUCCUGUGCGUAGGCGACUAUUACACAAUAUCGCAGUGAUUUUUUAAUAAAAGAUUUUUAUAGACCAAUAA